AGCACAUGAGUAGCAAUACGAUGGUGGCGACCGGCGCACGGGUGAGUAACACGUAUGCAACCUACCCAUAAGAGGGGAAUAACCCGGAGAAAUUCGGACUAACACCGCAUAAUACUGAAUAUUCGCAUGGAUUUUCAGUUAAAUAUUAAUAGCUUAUGGAUGGGCAUGCGUAUGAUUAGAUAGUUGGUAGGGUAACGGCCUACCAAGUCAACGAUCAUUAGGGGUUCUGAGAGGAAGGUCCCCCACAUUGGAACUGAGACACGGUCCAAACUCCUACGGGAGGCAGCAGUGAGGAAUAUUGGUCAAUGGGCGAGAGCCUGAACCAGCCAUGUCGCGUGAAGGAAGAAUGUCCUAUGGAUUGUAAACUUCUUUUAUACAGGAAUAAAGUGUACUACGUGUAGUAUUUUGUAUGUACUGUAUGAAUAAGGAUCGGCUAACUCCGUGCCAGCAGCCGCGGUAAUACGGAGGAUCCGAGCGUUAUCCGGAUUUAUUGGGUUUAAAGGGUGCGUAGGCGGAAUAGCAAGUCAGUGGUGAAAGUUUGCAGCUUAACUGUAAAAUUGCCAUUGAAACUGCUGUUCUUGAGUACAGUAGAGGUAGGCGGAAUGUGUAGUGUAGCGGUGAAAUGCAUAGAUAUUACACAGAACACCGAUUGCGUAGGCAGCUUACUGGAGUGUAACUGACGCUGAGGCACGAUAGCGUGGGGAUCAAACAGGAUUAGAUACCCUGGUAGUCCACGCCGUAAACGAUGAUUACUAACUGUUUGCGAUAUAAUGUAAGUGGUACAGAGAAAUCGUUAAGUA
rnacentral:rRNA from 1 species